rnacentral:rRNA from 1 species
GACGAACGCUGGCGGCGUGCUUAACACAUGCAAGUCGAACGGAAAGGCCCUGCUUUUGUGGGGUGCUCGAGUGGCGAACGGGUGAGUAACACGUGAGUAACCUGCCCUUGACUUUGGGAUAACUUCAGGAAACUGGGGCUAAUACCGGAUAGGAGCUCCUGCUGCAUGGUGGGGGUUGGAAAGUUUCGGCGGUUGGGGAUGGACUCGCGGCUUAUCAGCUUGUUGGUGGGGUAGUGGCUUACCAAGGCUUUGACGGGUAGCCGGCCUGAGAGGGUGACAGGCGACAUUGGGACUGAGGUACGGCCCAGACUACUACGGGGGGCAGCAGUGGGGAAUAUUGCACAAUGGGCGGAAGCCUGAUGCAGCAACGCCGCGUGCGGGAUGACGGCCUUCGGGUUGUAAACCGCUUUCGCCUGUGACGAAGCGUGAGUGACGGUAAUGGGUAAGGAAGCACCGGCUAACUACGUG